CGUCGCUCGGUCGCUCGUCCUAUGCGAAGCGCCGGCGGUUUGCUGCAAUGAGCGGCCAAUAGGAAAUUCCGUGUUUCUUCUCCUCAAGAUUCUUCGUCAGUCUUCCUGCUCCUCCUGGUUCUUCUCUCUCAGGAGAUCACGUUUGGCAUGUUAACCCCGACAAACAUUAUAGUUUCUAUAGGCCCGGUUCAGAUCUAGCAGACAAGAGGUUUUAUUUUGAAUCCUACAGGGUGAAGAUAUCAUUCCUCACCUCUGCCUGCUUGUCUCAUACAAAAUGGCGAAGUUCGAUCCGCACAAGGUUGACUUUGGUGGCCUUGGAUGUUUCCACCAAGAAGAGUAAGAAACAGUUUUAGAUGUCUUCAGAAAGAAAAGGAGAGUUGCCAAUAGAUGCUAGGUUUUCUGUUAAGAUGGUUUCCACUUCUUUUCCUAUCGUGUCAUCCCUAGAAUGCACAUUUACUGUGUACUUCCUAUGAAUGACAUAUAUUUUCACAUAUGAAAAGUACAGUACGACUGUGAGAUGUUGUUUCCUUUCCUUUUGCUCGACUCGCCAUAGUUAAGUAUUUCAUCACAAGAGAGAAACA